AUUGAACGCUGGCGGCAGGCCUAACACAUGCAAGUCGAGCGGGGUUUUCGGACCUAGCGGCGGACGGGUGAGUAAUGCGUAGGAAGCUACCCGAUAGAGGGGGAUACCAGUUGGAAACGACUGUUAAUACCGCAUAAUGUCUACGGACCAAAGUGUGGGACCUUCGGGCCACAUGCUAUCGGAUGCGCCUACGUGGGAUUAGCUAGUUGGUGGGGUAAUGGCUCACCAAGGCGACGAUCCCUAGCUGGUUUGAGAGGAUGAUCAGCCACACUGGAACUGAGACACGGUCCAGACUCCUACGGGAGGCAGCAGUGGGGGAAUAUUGGACAAUGGGCGCAAGCCUGAUCCAGCCAUGCCGCGUGUGUGAAGAAGGCUGUGUA
rnacentral:rRNA from 1 species